AUGCCAUCUAUUCCCACCACAGAAUCACCGACUCAGAGCUUACUGCACAAGGAAGAAAGGGUCCAGGGGCCGGGGGUGUUUCACCUGUGCCUGCUGGGCGAGACUGGCCCCAGGCUGCUGGCGUGGACCCGGCCGCUCAGCACCUGGUGGUUCACAUGCUGGGCCCCCAGGUGCCAAGCAUUGCUCAGAGGCACAGGUGUCCUCCUUCCCACUUCUCAAAAGCCGGCUCCCUCCACCUCCCUGUUCCUGUCCCCCUCCUCCUGCAGGGACCUUCUCUGUGAACCUCCUGCCUUGGACGGGGUGACAGUCCUUCUCCAUCUGAACCAAAUGGACAUGGUGGAGAGCAAAGACGUCAAACACGUCGUGCAGAACGAACAAGGGCAACUACCGUGAAGAUAAGGCAUUGGCCACAGCAGUAGGAAGAGGAGCCUCUCCGAGUUGAGCUCCGUGAAGGUGCUGCUGCUCCGGGUGACUUUUCCCAUCCGUGACUUGGGAUCUAGCCAGCUCCCUUCCUUGGCUGGCCGUGGGCAGCAGGCAUCCCUCACCAUCACCCAGGCAGGAGAGAGAACAUGGACACCAGGCAUGGGCUUCACCCUGUGCUGGCCUGGAAACGACAUGUCUCUUCUUCCCUUUCUUUCUUUCUCUUUCUUUCUUUCUUUCUUUCUUUCUUUCUUUCUUUCUUUCUUUCUUUCUUUCUUUCUUUCUUUCUUUCUUUUUUUCUUUCUUUCUUUUCUUUCUUUUCUUUUUCUUUCUUUCUUUCUUUCUUUCUUUCUUUCUUUCUUUCUUUCUUUCUUUCUUUCUUUCUUUCUUUCUUCUUCUUCUUCUUCUUUCUUUCUUUCUUUCUUUCUUUCUUUCUUUCUUUCUUUCUUCUUCUUUUAAGAUUUUUUUAAAAAGGUUUUAUUUAUUUAUUCAUGAGAGACACAGAGAGAGGCAGAGACACAGGCAGAGGGAGAAGCAGGCUCCAUGCAGGGAGCCCAAUUUGGGACUCGAUCCCUGGAUCUGGGAUCAUGACCUGAGUCGAAGGCAGAUGCUCAACUGCUGAGCCUCCCAGGAGCCCUUCUUCCUUUCAUAAUUAACUGGACAUAACUCCUCAUGCGGCUCCACCCAGAGGCUUGGGGCUGAGAAGUACCAUCUUAUGUGGGCCUGGACACAGAUUGCUGACUCUUCAGUGAAAAUUCAUAGGUUUUCUGUUAUUAUUUAAUUUCCAUUAAGAAAGAUAAUGUCUUGGAUUCAAACAACAUGGAGAAUCAGAAGGGGGACCCUUGUAGAACACCAGGGUCCUUGCAGGGUUACACCAUCAGUGAGCCAGGCGGCUCCACCACCCCUCUGGCCCGAGGCCUGCAUUUCUCAGCCCUUCCUAGGUCAGGUGCAGAACCUCGCAGCCACAAAGCUUUAUUUCUUGCUCAUGUGACUUGUCGACUGGGCUCAGCCGAAAUCCUGCCCCAGGGGAGUUUGUCCAGGAGACAGCCUCAAGAAGCAGCCCUGAGAUGGGCCGCCUGUGCCAAAGUCAUGAAAUCCCAGGGUGUCUCUGGGUGGAACUCAUUCCUGCUGCUGAAGUGAACCUGAACUAUCGCACAGUAAGGGCAGGUAUGUUAUCCUCCAACAGGGCAUGUGGCAAAUGCCUGGAAGCAUUAAAACAACUACCAAAAUACAGCUUCUCGAAAAGUCUGUACCUGCUUCAGAACCAGGUGGAGAAAAGGGCUUCUCUGAGAAUUUAUGCCAUAUUACCUUCUUCAUAGGAGCUUCGGAGUCUGAAAUCAUAUUCACAUGUCCCGAGAACCAUCAAGCUGAGAAAUUCACUUAAAAAGUUCUGAGUUGAUGGAGCCCAUGGGGAUGAAUGGCAGAAGCAAACAGAAAUACUUUUGUAAGAAUGUGCUUUUCAUGCAGGUGCUAUGAAAUUCCCACAGACAUACCCUGGUCGCAUGCAGGUCUAAAGAGCAAAACCAAGCACCAGCAGCAACCAUGAGGCACAGACGCGAGCGGCAAGAAAGGGGCUCCAUGGAGAGAGUGAACAGCAUUCUCAGGCUGCCAGGAGUUCGGAUGCUAGGCUCUUCAGAAUAUAACCUCGGCAUGUUUAAAAUAUUUGAAUAAACAAGAGAACUGUUUAGAAACAUGAGCAAUGAGAAAGAAAAAAAAAAUGUCCUGGUAGAUUUGGAAAGAAAAAAGAGCUGUCACAACUCAAGAGAAGGUAGUGCAGCAGCGGAUGUAGCACACUUGAGAAACCAGUCCCAUCCACAGACGGAGUGUGCCAAGCAAUGAAGACAUACAGAGAAGAGAGCGAAAAAGCCUAACACACAUCUCUCAGCAUCCUGGAGGACAUAACGCCAUGAGUGGAAAAAGCCACUAUUUACAAACUAAUAGCCAAGAUUCUCCAAAACUGAUGAAAAAUAUGCAUCCCCAGCCUCAGAAAGUCAACAAGCCCUAAGAAGGAGGAAAAAUGACAACCAUCAGAGACAACCAAGUGAAAUUACAAAAUAAUUUAACAAUAUAAAAGGAGAAGGUAUUGCAAAUUGAGAAAAAAGUGGAAUUGUCCACAGAAGAAUGACAAAGACCAUGGUAGCUGAAUUCUCAAGAGGAAAAACAAAAGCCACGAGAAGGUGGAAACAAAACCCUGAAUGUGCUGAGACAAGAAGGCUGCCCACUGGCCAACUGCCACUCAGUGAUGGGGCCAAGGAAACACAGUGUUAGGAAUGAUGAGCGUGUCUUACCAGUGGCCCUUGCUCAAGGAGACUUGAAACAUAUUCUUCAAGAAAGAGGAAAAUGAUCCUCAAGUGGCUUCAGACGCAUUUAGGGGGUGAAGGAGAUGAACAUCACUGUGCAGUACAGCAAUGGUCAUCAUGCCCAAUGAGGGGGAGGUCAGGUGACAAACUGGACGGGAAAACCAGGCAGAGCGAGAAAGGGUGGCCAGUGUUACAAACAUGUUCCAAGACUUUGUAUUGCUUGGGAGGAGGGUAAUAAGAGCAGUUAAUUUUAAAUUCUGUUAAAUAUUAAUAUUUUAGUAAUUUCUAAAUCCAUGAGCCAGGCCUUACGCUUCCCAUUAACUCAAGACUAACUAAUCCUAUGUCUAAUAAGUACCUAAGAUUUAAAAAGAGUUCCCCCCACCCCAAACCCACUGUGUCCACUCUUUGUAAAUGGUGGCCCCCACACAGGCCAUCUGGCUAAACCCCUGGGAGCCAUCUCUCUCUUUCUCUCCUGUCUUCAUGCUACCCUAGUACACUCUGCCAUCUAGACUCCUGCAAGCUUUCUUGCUGGUCUUCCAUCUCUUUUCUUUGCUCUUCAUAUGGCCAGUUCUAAAAAACAGAGUGAUCUUUUUGAAACACAUGUCGAAAUGCGCUAGUGGUUUCUCUCUGACUCAGAUAAAACCAAAGUCCUGUCCUUACCCUCCUAGGCCCAGCAUCACCCAGCCCACACACCCCAUCCCAUCUCUUCUGAACUUACAGCUCAGAUACCUCCCCAGCUAUUGACACUCUAGCAAUGUGGGUCUUCUUGCUCCUCUAACAUGACAAAUGUGUUGCUGUCGGAAGCCUGAUCUUUUUCACUAGAAUGCUUUAUACUCAGUAUUCAAAAGGUGCUAUGGACUGAAUGUUGGUGUCCCCCCCACCAACUCACAAUCUUGAAAUAACCCCCCAAUGGGAUGGUGUUAGGGGUAGGCCCUUUGGGAGGUGAUCAGAUCAUGAGGGUGAAGCCCAUGAAUGGGAUCAGUGCCCUUAUAAGAGGCCCCACAGAGCACCCUCACUCCUUCUGCCCUGAGGACACAGUGAGAGGGUGCUGGCUAUGAACCAGAAAACAGGUCCUCACCAGACACCAAAUCUGCAGGUGACUUGCUCUCAGGUUGCAGCUUCCACAGCUAAGGAAUAGAUGUCUGUUGUUUUAAGUUUCCUGUUCUAUAGCAUUUUGUUAUAGCAUCCUGCACUCCCUGAGACAAAAGGCUGUCGGCUUCACUUCCUCCUGCUUCCUGCUGAAACAUCAUCUUUUCGAAGACCAUCUCCUGAUUAUUCUCUAUGAUUUCACCUUCCAAUUGUUCUCUUUCCCUUAUCCUGUUUUCUUCUCCUUCACAGUACUUACCAUAGGGUAUAUUAUGGUUUUGUUUCUUUUUUUUUAAUGCCUUAUCUCCAUAAUAAAACAUAAAAAUCCAUGAAAGAAGGGGCUUGUCUUUGUUCAUUGCUCUAUCUCCAGAACAUAAAACAGCUCCUGGCAUGUAGCAGGCACUCAAGGGUAACCAUUAAAAGAAUAAAAAUGGAUUAUGUUCCCCCCUUUUUAAGAUGUGAAAAUACUAGGUUAAAAUGUAAUCCAAAGGAUGUCAAGAUAUGGGGGAGAAGCAGAAGCGUGGAAACAGAAACAAAUGGAAAGUAUAAAACAAAAUAUUAAAAAUAAGUUCACAUAGAUCUGUAAUAACAAUAAAUGUAAACAGACUAAACUCACUAGUUAAAAAAUAGAGAUUGCCAAAUUGGAGUUUAAAAUAAUCCAGCUUCAUGCUGUUUCUAAGAGAUACCCCCUAAAUCACAGGGUAUGAGAAGAUUGCAAAAAAAUACAGCAGACCAAUAAAUAGCAAAGACUGUUGGCAUACCCAGAGCAAUA
rnacentral:lncRNA from 1 species